rnacentral:rRNA from 1 species
UACGUAGGCAGCGAGCGUUUGUUCGGAGUUACUGGGGCGUAAAGAGUGCGUAGGCGGUUUUCUAAGUUUGGUGUGAAAUCUCCCGGCUUAACUGGGAGGGUGCGCCGAAGACUGGAAGGCUUGAGUAUGGGAGAGGUAAGCGGAAUUCCUGGUGUAGCGGUGAAAUGCGUAGAUAUCAGGAGGAACACCUGCGGUGUAGACGGCUUACUGGACCAUCACUGACGCUGAGGCACGAAAGCGUGGUAGCAAACAG